GGAGGGGUGGCAUGAGCGGUCUAUGGCGCUGCCCUGCUAAGGCAGUACGGGGGCAACCUCGUCCCGGGUUCGAAUCCCGGUCCCUCCGCCA
rnacentral:tRNA from 1 species